AGGAAGGCUUCCAGGGCGGCGACGCUUGGGGGGCCUUUUUCUUUUGC
rnacentral:antisense_RNA from 1 species